AAAGGUUUUGAAUCGAGUGAUCACGGCACAGUAAUAUGGAGCUUCAAGCGCAUAUUAGAAUUUGGAUGCUAUGGAAUUCGACUAACAGAUCAAAGAUUUAUUAAAUUUAUAAAGCCUGAAAUAUUAGUCAAAGCUUAAAGUAUCAAGAAUGUACAGGUACAAGUACAAAGAAAAUUACCGGAAUUUUAAUAACGACCUGCACAGUAGAUGUGAAAGAAAUAUUUCUAAUUCCUGCAUAUUCCAGAAAAGGGGCUUAUAAGUGACGAGUCCGAAAUACGUUGAUUUCUCAUAGUCUGAGGUGGGGUGAAAACCAUGGCCACUACUUCUUAGGCUGUCUUCAAGAGAUGAGCAGAAAAAACAAAUGAGAAUUUCAGUUUUUAGAGUAAUAAUAGCAAACACUUUGGAGAUAUCAAUUUUUAAAUUAUUUUAUUUAUAUCUGAAAGUAUUCUGACAGAAUUCUUCGUGUUUACUCACGAUGGAACGUCUUAUAAAUGGAAAAAGAGGCAGAAUGUCCUGCAAUUGAUAUUAGAACAGCGCGUUCUGCAAGGAAUAAAUUAGAGGCCACCUAAUUGAACGGCUUAAUACCACUCAUCUCUGCAGUGAAUAACCAUUUCGGCUCUAGCAGCAAAUUCUAAAUAUGGAAGAUGUCUGGAUUGGAGGAAAAAAUGGUACUGAAGUGAUAUUGGUAUUCAUAGGUCAGACAACUUACGACCAUUGCAUUUUUCCUUGGAUAAAAGCGUGCCGUCACCAUCAUUAAUAUGGCUUUCUCGGUUCCAUAUGCAAAUCAUCAAUACUCGGCAAUUUCCUUAAGAUAAUUUGAAGUAUCAUUCUCAUGAUGUCUACACGUUUUAACCCAAGUGAUCACAGCACAAGAUACCAUUUGGAGCUUUCAACCUUGCAAUUAGGAGCCUUUUCAAUGGAACUAAUGGAGAUCAAAUUUCUGCACCUGAGUUUGUAAAACUCAUUUUGGCUUCACCUAAAUUUAUUGGUGCCAAAAAUAGUGCCUUUCUAUUCUAAGAGCAAGAUACUGAAUAUUUAUAAUUUUUCCCAACUUUGCAAAGCUUGAAAUGUUCAAAAUAUCUAGGAUUCAAAAGAAGCGUUUGGCAAUUCAAUCAAUAUUUCAUCUUUAAAAUUGUCUGGAAGCUUUUAUUCUUAUGCCAACUUUAAAAUAUUGAUCUUAAUUCAUUCCCUUAAAACGUAAUUUGUUUUUAAUUUUUGCGAAAUAAGUAUUUUAAAAAUCUACAUUGGUGAAAUGGUUUUUUAACAUGGAUAACUUAAUAUUUCGUAGUGGAUUUAAUUUUGCUAGUAAUAUAAACCAAUUUUCCAACAAGAGUGGAUGUUGGAUUGACAUUUCAGAUAAAAUUCGCCUUAAAAUUGCUAUAUGGUUAUUAAUCUCUUAUUAGAGCUCAAGUUGACAAGCAGAGCCACCAUUGACCCAACAAUAUAGGCAGGAAUAGCAAUUGUUAUGAAAUAAAAACAUUCAUUCGCCUUGUGUAUUACUUCAUUGCGAGUGGAAAAUGAAUCUUUUCGCCAUGAGAUUUGUUAUUUUUAAUCACCGAUUACCAUAGCAAAAUUUAAAAAUGUAAAUUUUUUUUCUGUAAAAUGAUCUGUUUAUUUUACCUACGUAGUUUUCAAAAUUUAGUCUCUUGGUAUCAUUUUUUACUGAACGUCAAUGCUCGUGAAAACAAUUUUAUG